CAUGAAUACAUCGAUUUUGUGAAGAAGUUAAAUGUAAAAUCCUCACGCCUCAGAAAAUCGUUACAAAUGGCGGGGGGGGGGGGGGGGGGGGCGGGAGUUCUCUUAUUCAGUAUUCAGGAUUCCAGACUGGGACGGGCGUAUCAAACAAUCCGCUAAUAUGAUUUCAGAGAAUGAAAUCUCACAGCCUUUUAUAUAUCCAGGCAAAUACAAUCCAUUACAUACAUGGUCUCUGGCAAGAGGACUUAACACAGUUUGCUGUAUACAUUCUUUGGCAAAAGACCCUGUGAGCCAAGCAUCCCCUGAAGGGAACUGAUACUACCCCUUCAAGCAGUAAGGGCUGCACUGAACCAGCAAGACCCCACCCAUGACAAUGAAGACCUGACCUUUACUGCCCACCUGCAAGUACCUACUUACCUUUGUCCCACAUUUUCCUGGUAUAAACCUAGAAGUAUUUUUGGCACUUUGGAGAAAGUCUUUGAGAUGUUAGUCUGCCGUCUUUGUCUUCCAGUGUUGGGCUCACUGAAAUAAAUUCCUUUCUUAUUUCAUCUCCA